UACGUAGGGUGCGAGCGUUGUCCGGAAUUAUUGGGCGUAAAGGGCUCGUAGGCGGUCUGUCGCGUCGGGAGUGAAAACUCAGGGCUUAACCCUGAGCCUGCUUCCGAUACGGGCAGACUAGAGGUAUGCAGGGGGAGAACGGGAAUUCCUGGUGUAGCGGUGGAAUGCGCAGAUAUCAAGAGGAACACCUGAGGUGAAGACGGGUUGCUGGGCCGACACUGACGCUGACAGCGCGAAAGCCAGGGGAGCAAACGGG
rnacentral:rRNA from 1 species